GGGACUCCGAGUGCGAGGGCAUAUAGCCCUCGCUUUUCUGUACCGUAAGGUGGUACAGGAACAAGGACUGGGCAAGACCGGUGCCAGCCGCCGCGGUAAUACCGGCAGUCCAAGUGAUGGCCGAUAUUAUUGGGCCUAAAGCGUCCGUAGCCGGCCGGACAAGUCCGUUGGGAAAUCGACGCGCUCAACGCGUCGGCGUCCAGCGGAAACUGUCCGGCUUGGGGCCGGAAGACCUGAGGGGUACGUCCGGGGUAGGAGUGGAAUCCUGUAAUCCUGGACGGACCACCAAUGGGGAAACCACCUCAGGAAGACGGACCCCGACGGUGAGGGACGAAAGCUAGGGUCUCGAACCGGAUUAGAUACCCGGGUAGUCCUAGCUGUAAACGAUGCUCGCUAGGUGUGCCGUAGGCUACGAGCCCGCGCUGCGCCCUAGGGAAGCCGAGAAGCGAGCCGCCUGGGAAGUACGUCUGCAAGGAUGAAACUUAAAGGAAUUGGCGGGGGAGCACCACAACCGGAGGAGCCUGCGGUUUAAUUGGACUCAACGCCGGACAUCUCACCGGUCCCGACAGUAGUAAUGACGGUCAGGUUGACGACCUUACCCGACGCUACUGAGAGGAGGUGCAUGGCCGCCGUCAGCUCGUACCGUGAGGCGUCCUGUUAAGUCAGGCAACGAGCGAGACCCGCACUUCUAGUUGCCAGCAAUACCCUUGAGGUAGUUGGGUACACUAGGAGGACUGCCAUUGCUAAAAUGGAGGAAGGAACGGGCAACGGUAGGUCAGUAUGCCCCGAAUGGACCGGGCAACACGCGGGCUACAAUGGCUCUGACAGUGGGAUGCAACGCCGAGAGGCGACGCUAAUCUCCAAACGGAGUCGUAGUUCGGAUUGCGGGCUGAAACCCGCCCGCAUGAAGCUGGAUUCGGU
rnacentral:rRNA from 1 species